GUGCGACCAUAUAACGUUGAAAUACCGGUUCCCGUAUGAUCACCAAAGUUAAGCAACGUCGAUGUUGGUCAGUACCUAUGUGGGUGACCGCUUAGGAAUACCAAGUGCUGUAAG